CCGUACCCUAAACCGACACAGGUAGUCAGGUUGAAAAUACUAAGGCGUUCGGGUGAACUGUGGUUAAGGAACUCGGCAAAAUGCCCCCGUAACUUCGGGAGAAGGGGGGCCCGGACCCUGACAUGCCCAAGCGGUGUGGAGGGGGUAAGGGUCGCAGAGACCAGGGGGAAGCGACUGUUUAUCAAAAACACAGGUCCGUGCGAAGUCG
rnacentral:rRNA from 13 species